rnacentral:rRNA from 1 species
GACGAACGCUGACGGCGUGCUUAACACAUGCAAGUCGAAGGGAGUGGCGAACGGGCGAGUAACACGUGAGUAAUCUGCUCUCUUCUUUGGGAUAAGCUUGGGAAACUGGGUCUAAUACUGGAUGGAUCGGGAUGGGCUCGCGGCUUAUCAGCUUGUUGGGGGGGUGCUGGCUUCCCAAGGCUUUGACGGGUAGGCGGCCUGAGAGGGUGGUCGGUCGCACUGGGACUCAGAUACGGCCCAGACUCCUACGGGAGGCAGCAGUGGAGGAUAUUGCACAGUGGACGAAAGACUGGUGCAGCGACGUCGGGUGGGGGGUGGAGGCCUUCGGGUAGUAAACGCCGUUCGCCCGCAGAAUGGUAGUGGGUAAAGAAGCGCCGGCUAACUACGUGCCAGCAGCCGCGGUAAUUC